CCUACGGGAUGCAGCAGUGAGGAAUAUUGCUCAAUGGGCGCAACCCUGAUCCAGCGACGCCGCGUGUGGGAAGACUGUCCUCUGGAUUGUAAACCACUUUCCCCAGGGACCAAAGUGACGGAACCUGGGGCGGACGCUCCGUCUAACUACGUACCAGCAGCCGCGGUAAUACGUAGGGAGCGAGCGUUGUCCGGAUUUACUGGGUGUAAAGGGAGCGUAGGCGGGGCUGCAAGUUGGGGGUCAAAUCUCCCGGCUCAACCGAUAGCCGCAGUCAAAACUGGAGUUCUUGAGUGAAGGAGAGGCAGGCGGAAUGCGUGGUGUAGCGGUGAAAUGCGUAGAUAUUAGGAGGAACACCAGUGGCGAAGGCAGUGUGCUGGGCUUUUACUGACGCUGAGGCUCGAAAGUGUGGGGAGCGAACAGGAUUAGAUACCCCAGUAGUC
rnacentral:rRNA from 1 species